CUGUAACCCUAGCACUCUGGAAGGAUGAGACAGGAAGAUCACAAGUUCCAGGUCAGGCCAGGCGAUUUAGACCCUGUCUCAAAAAAGAGCUGGGGAUGCGGCUUUGUGAGAAGGUCCUGUGGCCCCCUCCAGACCCCUAAAAGUGUGCUGUUCCAGAGAUGUGCUGCCAUACUGAAGAGGGAAAAGUGUGUGAAAGGGGAAAAAACAAAACAAGAGACGAUACCGCAGACAAGACAGACAACACUUUCAGAAGACAGCAGUAACUCAGUGCCGCGACAGGUGGGCCAUUCCUCCCCUUUCCCGGGGCAGAAGACUAAACUUGGAUCCUGAAGACAGGGAGCCAGAGGUUCCAGACAAAAGAUGGGAAGAGGUGCCACUUGUAAUACCCUGUUUUCCUACUGAAUGGGGGCCUCUGCCCCUCUACAAAUGCAGGUUCCCCCUUCCCUCCCACUCCCACCCAAAUCCUAUUUUUCUGUAGAGAAAUUAAGCAAAUGAAAGACCCCAGAGAAAUCUGACAUUCAGCAUCUCCCAGGAAGUAGGGCAGACCUCAUUCAC